rnacentral:rRNA from 1 species
AAGAGCUCAAAUUUGAAAUCUGGCCCCCCCCGGGGGGUCCGAGUUGUAAUUUGUAGAGGAUGCUUUUGGCGAGGUGCCUUCCGAGUUCCCUGGAACGGGACGCCUUAGAGGGUGAGAGCCCCGUACGGUUGGAUGCCGAGCCUCUGUAAAGCUCCUUCGACGAGUCGAGUAGUUUGGGAAUGCUGCUCUAAAUGGGAGGUAAAUUUCUUCUAAAGCUAAAUACUGGCCAGAGACCGAUAGCGCACAAGUAGAGUGAUCGAAAGAUGAAAAGUACUUUGAAAAGAGGGUUAAAUAGUACGUGAAAUUGUUGAAAGGGAAGCGUUUGUGACCAGACUUUGCCGCGGCGGAUCAUCCGGUGGUCUCCACCGGUGCGCUCCGCCGCGGCGAGGCCAGCAUCGGCUCCCGCAGGGGGAUAAAAGCCUGGGGAACGUAGCUCCCUCGGGAGUGUUAUAGCCCCUCGCAUAAUGCCCUUGCGGGGACCGAGGACCGCGUACUCGUACAAGGAUGCUGGCGUAAUGGUCAUCAACGACCCGUCUUGAAACACGGACCAAGGAGUCGAACAUUUGUGCGAGUAUUUGGGUGUCAAACCCCUGUGCGCAAUGAAGGUGAACGGAGGUAAGAGCCCCGCAGGGGGUGCAUUAUCGACCGAUCCAGAUGUCUUCGGAUGGAUUUGAGUAAGAGCAUCAAUGUUCGGACCCGAAAGAUGGUGAACUAUGCGUGGAUAGGGUGAAGCCAGAGGAAACUCUGGUGGAGGCUCGCAGCGGUUCUGACGUGCAAAUCGAUCGUCAAAUCUGCGCAUGGGGGCGAAAGACUUAUCGAACCAUCUAGUAGCUGGUUACCGCCGAAGUUUCCCUCAGGAUAGCAGUGUUGUUCUUCAGUUUUAUGAGGUAAAGCGAAUGAUUAGGGACUCGGGGGCGCUUUUUAGCCUUCAUCCAUUCUCAAACUUUAAAUAUGUAAGAAGCCCUUGUUACUUAAUUGAACGUGGGCAUUCGAAUGUACCAACACUAGUGGGCCAUUUUUGGUAAGCAGAACUGGCGAUGCGGGAUGAACCGAACGCGGGGUUAAGGUGCCGGAGUGGACGCUCAUCAGACACCACAAAAGGUGUUAGCACAUUUAGACAAUAGGACGGUGGCCAUGGAAGUCGGAAUCCGCUAAGGACUGUGUAACAACUCACCUAUCGAAUGUGCUAGCCCUGAAAAUGGAUGGCGCUCAAGCGUCCCACCCAUACCUCGCCCUCA